rnacentral:rRNA from 1 species
GUCCUUUUGUUUAUUAUAUAAGGUUUGACCUGCCCACUGAUUUAUUAAAUGGCCGCAGUAAUUUGACUGUGCAAAGGUAGCAUAAUCAUUAGUUUUUUAAUUAAAAGCUUGUAUGAAUGGUUGGAUGAGGUAAAAUCUGUCUCUAUUUAAUUAAAAUUAGAAUUUAAUUUUUAAGUUAAAAAGCUUAAAUAAUUAUAAAAGACGAGAAGACCCUAUAGAUCUUUAUAUUAAAUUAAAUAAUUUUAUUUAAGAUUUGUAUAAUUUUUAUUUAUUUUAAUAUUUUAUUGGGGUAAUAAAAAGAUUAAAUUAAUUCUUUUUAUAUUUUUAUUAUUAAUUAAUAAUUUUUUGAUCCAUUUGUUUAUGAUUAAAAGAUUAAGUUACCUUAGGGAUAACAGCGUAAUUUUUUUAAAGAGUUCUUAUCGAUAAAAAAGUUUGCGACCUCGAUGUUGGAUUAAAAAUUAUCUUAGGUGUAGGUGUUUAAGAUUUUGGUCUGUUCGACCAUUAAAUUUUU